rnacentral:rRNA from 2 species
GGCGUGCAUAACACAUGCAAGUCGAACGAUGGAACUUAGUAGACUUCUUCGGAAAGACACUAAGCGGAUUAGUGGCGAACGGGUGAGUAACGCGUGAGUAACCUGCCUUACACAAGGGGAUAGCCUUUGGAAACGAAGAAUAAUACCCUAUAAAACCAUAAAAGCACAUGCUAGAAUGGUCAAAGUGCUAGCGGUGUAAGAUGGACUUGCGUCUGAUUAGCUAGCUGGUGAGAUAAAAGCUCUCCAAGGCAACGAUCAGUAGCCGGCUUGAGAGAGUGUACGGCCACAUUGGGACUGAGACACGGCCCAGACUCCUACGGGAGGCAGCAGUGGGGAAUUUUGCACAAUGGGGGAAACCCUGAUGCAGCGACGCCGCGUGAUUUAGAAGGCCUUCGGGUCGUAAAAAUCUUUUGUAUAGGAAGAAAAUGACAGUACUAUACGAAUAAGGUCCGGCUAAUUACGUGCCAGCAGCCGCGGUAAUACGUAAGGACCGAGCGUUGUCCGGAAUCAUUGGGCGUAAAGGGUACGUAGGCGGCUAGAAAAGUUAGAAGUCAAAGGCUAUAGCUCAACUAUAGUAAGCUUCUAAAACUAUUUAGCUUGAGAAAUGGAAGGGAAAGUGGAAUUCCUAGUGUAGCGGUGGAAUGCGCAGAUAUUAGGAAGAAUACCUGUGGCGAAGGCGACUUUCUGGCCAUUAUCUGACGCUGAGGUACGAA